UAGUGGCGGACGGGUGAGUAACACGUAGGUAACCUACCCUCAGGAGGGGGAUAAUCCUGAGAAAGCGGGACUAAUACCGCAUAGGACCACGAGCUGGGAUGCUUGUGGUGAAAGUGGCGACACACCUGGGGAUGGGCCUGCGGCCUAUCAGGUAGUUGGUGGGGUAAAGGCCCACCAAGCCUAAGACGGGUAGCCGGGCUGAGAGGUUGGACGGCCACACUGGAAUGAGACACGGUCCAGACUCCUACUGGGAGGCAGCAGUGGGGAAUCUUGCGCAAUGGGGGAAACCCUGACGCAGCAACGCCGCGCGGAGGAUGAAGGCCUUCGGGUUGUAAACUCCUUUUCUUGGGGAAAAUGGUGAUGGUACUCAAGGAAUAAG
rnacentral:rRNA from 1 species